rnacentral:rRNA from 1 species
CCUACGGGUGGCAGCAGUGAGGAAUAUUGGUCAAUGUACGAGCGUCUGAACCAGCCAAGUAGCGUGAAGGAUGACUGCCCUAUGGGUUGUAAACUUCUUUUAUAUUGGAAUAAAAUGUUCCACGUGUGGGCUUUUGUAUGUACCAUAUGAAUAAGGAUCGGCUAACUCCGUGCCAGCAGCCCCGGUAAUACGGAGGCUCCGAGCGUUAUCCGGAUUUAUUGGGUUUAAAGGGAGCGUAGGUGGAUUGUUAAGUCAGUUGUGAAAGUUUGCGGCUCAACCGUAAAAUUGCAGUUGAAACUGGCAGUCUUGAGUACAGUAGAGGUGGGCGGAAUUCGUGGUGUAGCGGUGAAAUGCUUAGAUAUCACGAAGAACUCCGAUUGCGAAGGCAGCUCACUGGACUGCAACUGACACUGAGGCUCGAAAGUGUGGGUAUCAAACAGGAUUAGAUACCCGGGUAGUC